CCGUUCCGAGCGAUGGAUGCUGGUUUCGUAUGUGUUGGUAGUAUCCGCACAGAGCUAGGGUCCGUCGGGUGUUUUAACGUAUUGCGCUACUCAGUGCUAUCGUGUUUUUAGUCUAGCGAGGAUUUGAGUAAAAGCGCUCAGCAACAACCCGUUGGUCAAUUUUUCGCGGAGAGGCCGGUGUAACCAGAAAAUCCAUCCACCAUGGACGCGAUCAAGAAGAAGAUGCAGGCGAUGAAGCUUGAGAAGGACAAUGCUCAAGACAAAGCCGAUACCUGCGAGAACCAGGCUAAGGAGGCCAAUCUCCGCGCCGACAAGAUCAUGGAGGAGGUCGCUGAGCUGACCAAGCGUCUGACUCAGGUCACCACCGAUCACGAAACGUUCAAGUCCUCUCUGGAACAGGCCAACAAGGAUCUGGAAGAGAAGGAGAAGAACCUCACAUCCACCGAGGCCAACGUUGCCGCACUGACCCGUAAAGUCCAACAGGUUGAAGAGGAUUUGGAAAAGUCCGAGGAGCGGUCGGGUGCUGCUCUGUCCAAGCUGUUGGAGGCUACUCAGUCUGCUGAUGAAAACAAUCGUAUGUGCAAAGUAUUGGAGAACCGUUCUCAGCAGGAUGAGGAGCGUAUGGAUCAACUGUCCAAUCAGCUCAAGGAAGCCCGUAUGCUCGCUGAGGAUGCUGACGGCAAGUCUGAUGAAGUGUCCCGUAAGCUGGCCUUCGUUGAAGACGAGCUUGAAGUCGCUGAAGAUCGUGUCAAAUCCGGUGAAGCCAAGAUCAUGGAGCUGGAAGAAGAGUUGAAGGUCGUCGGUAACUCGCUCAAAUCCCUGGAAGUUUCGGAGGAUAAGGCCAACCAGAGAGUCGAAGAGUUCAAGCGCCAGCUGAAGUCGCUCACCAUCAAGCUGAAGGAGGCCGAAACUCGUGCCGAAAAUGCCGAGAAGAACGUCAAGAAACUCCAGAAGGAGGUCGACAGACUAGAAGACAAACUGAUGAACGAGAAGGAAAAGUACAAAGCGAUCUGCGACGAUUUGGAUUCCACAUUCGCCGAACUUACCGGAUACUAAUUUCUCAAGAAGCAGCUAUUACCACUACUAUUACUGCUACUACUGCUACUAGAACUACUACACUACCAGUUUGCCCUGUUUAUAUACCACAGCAAAAAAAAAAGACAGCUUUACUCCACACGAUUCGGAUCGUUCCAUCUCCUUCUGUUUAUCUCUCUCGUUCGCACAUCCGCAAGGGGAUCCAAUGCGGACGAAUGUGUGUUCCCGGUGUCAUCCUUUGGAGCCGAUACGAUCAUCCUGUACCGGUUCCAUUGUUUUCUACUGUUUCAUGUGAUCUAUGUUGCCGAUGAGAAUCAGAUGUUGUAACUUUAAAUUUUAGACGGAAGAUGGUUUCAUAUUGUUGUUUAGACGAACUGGGCACCAACAAGGACCGGUACAAGUCUCUGGCCGACGAGAUGGAUUCCACCUUUGCCGAGUUGGCUGGCUACUAAGGAGUUCCGGGUUUCACACCUCUUCACCGUACCAGCU